AAUGCAUCCCCUUCUCUCAUCACACUUUGAACUUACCUCUAAUAAGGCAUGUGUGGCACUUCAUCUUCUUGGCAGAUUGUGACCCCGUGGAGUCAGAAAUUUGAAUUGCCUGUCCAACUGAAAUUCAAUAUUAACCAAGCUACACUAGUCGACUUCAUCUAAGGACUCUUUUAAGGAAAAGAUGUGGUGAGAAGAUCAUGGUUCCCAAAUAAGUUUUAGUCAGUGACCUGAAUGGCUAUUUUACCUGAUUGCACGAACCAACCAAAUCUUGAUUAUUGUUAAGGGAUGUUCAUGAUGUAAGGAGGCUCACCGACUGACUGCAGCUAUAACUUCAACUUGCCAAUGUACACUAUUGCUCACAAGAGGAUCGGUUGAGAGAGUGUGAACAAAUUUAUUGCCAACCCUUUCCUACUCCUAAAACAAAGCAAUUUUGUAGAUUUUUUACUGAUAAGUCACAGCACUGUCUUCAAACACAAAUGACAACAUUUCAUGUGACAUUAUUUUCAGACUAUUAGGAGAUAGUCCAAAUCAUCUUGGGCCAUUUGGUCUUAUUUAUAGAUUAAAGAACAAUUAUGUUUUUUACCCAUUUACAUUCUGACAUCUUAUUUAAUUAUAUUAUUUGCUUUCUUUUAUGCUCAUUCUCCCUUUAGAUCUGGUAUGAUUAUUCUUUAUUUAGUAUUCUUUCCCUUAUUAGCUUGUUUAUUUUCUCUGAGGGGCAAAAUUCUUUUUUAUUAUUAUUUUGAGGAUGCCAAGUAUUUACCUAAUUAUCCUUCAGAGAACAUCAGGGACAAUACAGUUGAACAAAUGGGUGAACACUGGAAAAGGAAUCCUGGAUAAUUAUAUUGUUUCUGGAGACUUAGUUACUGAUCCAUUUUCUUCUUGCUGCCACAUAUUUUUCUCUAGGCUUUUUUCAUUACAUAUUUUCAAGUUUAUAAUUGGCAACCUUUUUCUUCCUGUUUGAAAAAAUACUAUGGGAGUUUGCAGGUGUUCAGGUUAACUAGUAUCCUUUUAAAAACUCAAUUUAAGAACCUAUCAAUGUAUUGUUCAUUUAUUUAGAAUUAAAAUAUUUAAUACAGUAUUUAUUUCUAUAUUUUAACUUUGUUAGAUGUAACAUUAAAGAAGACUAUCAAAUCAUGUUUUAAGCUAAUCUAAAAAUUGAAUAGCAAAUAUAAAUAAAGGAAAAUUAGCCCAGCACAAAAUAGUAAGACAGAAAAUAAUUCAUUAAUUCUUUUAGGCAAUCAAUCAGUCAUCCCUCAUACAAUUAUCAAAAGUUACCAUGGAUUUCUCUAGAUACAAAGGUGAAACAUAUUCAAAACACAUACUAAAGACCAUGAUGUAGAUGUGGAAACAACAUCAAAACAAUGCGGUCAGAUCUUGAAUGGAUAGAAGAUAAAGAAUCAUGAGAGAUUGUCUAACCCAAUGGCCAUUCCAUUUUGGCAGACAACGAGUGUUAUUUCUCUUUCAGUUUGAAUUGCAUUGUGAUUGUUGUUGGGCAAAUAUGUUUUAUUAACUUGUAUGUUGGAUUGGUUAAUCUUUAACUCCUUACAUACGUUUUAUAUAGGAAGCAUGAUUGGUUCUGAUUAUGAAUGAUAGAACAACAGACAUGUGAGAUUAACAUUUGUAAAACUUAAUUUGAAACAUAGACUUCAAUCCUAAAAUGGAGAAGUCACUGCAAAAUCAGAGACAUAUUGGUGAAAACUCAGUAGCAAAAGUGGCAUUGACAAUCUGAUUUAAGACUCUCUUACCGUCUAUUCACACUGUUCCUUUAAGGGAAAUUUGACAACAAUGUCUUGCAAAUGUUUUGCCACUUCAAAGAUUCUUGCUAAUGUUUUAUCAAAGUAGAAUGGAGUUUGGGCAUUUUGGAUAAAUGUUCCCCAAAUCUUCUUUGUUGGUCAUCUCAUUAAGUAGGGAUACUUGAUACCAUAAUAUGAAAAAGCAAUUUAAAGAGACAUUUGAUUCACAACAUAGUGAUUUUUGUAAAUAAUAUUCUGGGAAGUCUCCUGUCCUUUUAUGGAUUUAAUUUUACUGUUGGUUUGUAUGCCUCUCUCUAUCCAUUAUGAAUAAUAAUAUCUCCCUGCACAUCCCUCCUCUUCUAAGAGAAUGGACUGUAAAGAAAUGUAUGAAAACAUUCCCUAAUUUGUAGAAAAUUAUGAAAGAAAUGACCACCAUUCCCAAAUGGAUUAUUUAUUCCUUAUAUCCCUAUAUAAAUGUUCUCUAAAACAUUAAGUGCACUCUUAUUCUGUGAUGACACUUGUUAAUUGCAACAUUAUAAACCUUUUAAAUACCAUCUUUUCAUAAUCAUCUCUGCCUAAUUCUGAUUCUCCUGCUAAAAAUGGACCUCUGAGAGCAGGUUUGCAUCUUAUUUGUUGUGCAUAUCUUUGUGUCUCCAACCAGCACCAAACUAUAUAUAAGUGUUGGUCAAUAAUUUUGAAGAGUAAACGAGAUGAGUUAUGAAUGUUUUAUAUUGGCUGUGGUCUAUAUAUUUUUUGUAGAUGUCUUACAAUCUGAUUGUCUUAAUCUAAUGCACUCAUUUAUUGAGGUUGGAUUUAAAAAAAAAAAUUUUUUUAAAUUCUGUUCAAUCCUCAUCUCUAUGCUGUUUGCCUUUCUCCAGAUGCAUAGCUUCAGUCCUUGUUGCUUGGACCACGGAAACAGCCUUCUUACUAGUCACCUGAUAUAAGUCACUGUCACUGCCCCACGUGCCUGCCAUCACUCUGAGAGUGAUCUUCUCAAUACUCAAAUCAGAGUUGACUGCAUUCAUGCUCAGAAUUCUUCAGUGCUUGCCAUUCAUUCCACCAAAAGCCUACAUUCCAAUGUUAUCUACACAGAGUUCUGAGACUAUAUGACAAGUCUUUCUUUUCAUUUUUGUCCCUUAAGGCCUUCACAUAAGGUGUUAAUUAAAUAUCAUUGAAUAAAUGCCA